GUGCUCGCUUCGGCAACACAUAUACUAAAAUUGGAACCAUACAAAAAGAUUAGCCAUGGCCCCUGCGAAAGGAUGACAUGCAAAUUCGUGAACCGUUCCAUAUUUUU